rnacentral:rRNA from 1 species
GCGACCCCAGGUCAGGCGGGACUACCCGCUGAGAUUAAGCAUAUCAAUAAGCGGAGGAAAAGA